rnacentral:lncRNA from 10 species
GGCCCUUCAAGUGCAUCACCAAAAAAAACCAUCCCAGAAGGGACAUUGGCUGCUGUCUUCUGACCCACCCUGUGUGGCUUUGGCGUCUCCUGUGACCUCCCAGUAUGGGUCUUGGCCUCAUCCUGCCUCUUUGUCUUUCUGGCCCACCACCCACAGCUUGAAUCUCAGGCUCCAACAGUUGCCUGACCCCCAGAUUCUGAUGACAGCCUACCUACUUGUUCUUCAGGCCCUCACCAGACUCACUGCCCAGACACACCACACAGGA